rnacentral:tRNA from 1 species
GCGUAUGUAGCUCAAUGGAUAGAGCGUUUGUUUCCUAAGCAGAAGGUCAUAGGUUCGACCCUUACCUAACGUG